UGGGGAAUCUUGCACAAUGGGGGAAACCCUGAUGCAGCGACGCCGCGUGAGCGAUGAAGGUUCUCGAAUCGUAAAGCUCUGUCCUAUGGGAAGAUAAUGACGGUACCCUAGGAGGAAGCCCCGGCUAACUACGUGCCAGCAGCCGCGGUAAUACGUAGGGGGCGAGCGUUGUCCGGAAUUACUGGGCGUAAAGGGUUCGCAGGCGGCAUGACAAGUCCGAUGUAAAAGGCGAAAGCUCAACUUUCGUAGGCAUCGGAAACUGUCUAGCUUGAGUGAGGGAGAGGCAAGUGGAAGUCCUAGUGUAGCGGUGGAAUGCGUAGAUAUUAGGAGGAAGACCGGUGGCGAAGGCGACGUGCUGGACUUCAACUGACGCUGAGGAACGAAAGCGUGGGUAGCAAACAGG
rnacentral:rRNA from 1 species